GAUUGCUUUUAUGUCUAGGGGUCAGAGGAACAUGUUAGAGUGAAGCCAAGUUUUAAAAGGAAGGUUCAAAUAUGCACUAGGUUUUGCCCAGGAUCCAGGAGGAAGCAUUGUGUAUAAAGAAGAAGCUCUGUUUGGAUGGACACGUGGGGGUGAUCUGGGACAUAGAAACCUGGAAAAGCUGAUGAAAGCUGAUUUUCCCUUGAAGAAGACAUUUGGAAUGAAGCAAUGUGACCUUUAAUCACCCUCAGACCUCUUUUUGUUCUUGUUCCAGGACAUUCUGGUUUUAGCCAGAUGAUACCAAAAUGACCCCAGAACCAGAAGAUGGCAGAGCCACAAAGUGAAAAAUACUUGGGUCUCUGAAUCAUAGCUUGGAGGAGGGCUUCCUGGAAAACCAUCCCAACAGAGACAUCCGCAUUAAACUUUGUGUAAACAAAAAAUAAAUCUUUCUUGUGGUAGGCCACUGAGAUUUAGAUUGCUACAGCAGCUAACCGAUCUGACCAAUACAGCAGAGAACUCCUCCAGUGCUCUCAAGUGUUUUACAGACCACUAAUUAUUAAAUGUGGAAGCUCUGGAGCAGAGAACCUUUCAACUGAAAUGAUGACAAACGAUGCUGGCUGAGGAGAGUCAGACCUGAAAAGUUAGGAAUCCCUAAAAUGACGUCAACCUAUAAUUCCUAUUACAGAGCUCUGAUUUCUACUGAUCGUUUUAGGAACCAUAUCUACUAUGUGAGAAAAGCUGCUGGUGGGCCUAAUUUAGAUGAAAAGCAGAAAGGCCUUAAAAAAGAAAUGGGAAAGGAAUAUACAGAAGCAAGAAGAUGAUUGAAAAAAGAUGGCAAUUCAUGUACUUGUUGAACACCAGUUCUGAGCUGCAGAGCAGGAGGCACAAGACGUAAACAAAAAAGUCUCUGUUACGGUCCUAAAGAAGCCAAUCAUCUAGAGAAAUGUAUGCACAGCAGGUCCAGCAGAAUGGGCUUUGCGCUGAUGAGGGAAGCAAGAGGAGAGCAUGGCCUGGGAAAGGAGAUGAUCAGGCUCACUUCCCAUUUCUCUGUGGAAGAACCGUGGCAAACACAGAGUCAACUCACAACGUUCAUUGGAAUUUUUCCCACUUGACUCCUUCGCAAGUUGGAAUAAGGAGUUUGGAAAGGGAGGAUUUCUUCAUAUAAAAAUGGUCUGGGUAUAUCCACGCAAAACUAAAGGGAGUGGAAGAGACCCUAGGUCUACACAUUUGAUGGGAUAGAUCCUUCGGGCUCAGCCUCACCUGCAGGUACUGAAGGAAGCCUUAGUCUGCUAUACAGAGCACUCUGCACCAUGGGGAGAAGAUCAAUAUGCUAAACUUGGGUACUGGGCCUAAAUCUUACGAAGUGACCUCAAACCUAGGAAGGGUAGUUUCAUCAGAAAAGAUCCUACAACCUUCUAUCUGAAGAGCAUGAAUAGCUGCUGCUUUUUUGGAGUUGGGGCCUUUCAUUCACCAUGAAGAUACUGCAUUGUGGCACAGUCCUUGAAGAGACAAGGCUCAGGAAAUUGUGUCUCAUGCAUUUGGAAACAUUACCUUGGAAACAUUAAAUAAAAGACAGGAAACCACAUACCAGCUGAAGAAAAGAACCAAUUCCUGCACAGGGUCUGUGUAAAGGUGAUGCCUGACUCCAGUCUACGAG
rnacentral:lncRNA from 1 species